AGUCCAUAGAAGCCGGUUAAGUGCAUCGCCCACAUGUUGAUUUGAUAUUCAUCAUUAGGAUGACCCAUUGUGCUGGUUAUUUGCCGUUCCUUGGAGUCCAUGAGUCUUAAAUUGCAAUUGCCUUCGAGUUCCGAUGCCCGAGUCACGAGCUAAAUUAGAAUGCGAAUUUCAUUCGCUUCGUCGUUCGACUCCCGAUUUAAAAUAAAAUAAAUAUUGACACCC